GUGGGGAAUAUUGGACAAUGGGCGGAAGCCUGAUCCAGCCAUGCCGCGUGUGUGAAGAAGGUCUUCGGAUUGUAAAGCACUUUAAGUUGGGAGGAAGAGUAGUAACCUAAUACGUUGCUACUUUGACGUUACCGACAGAAUAAGCACCGGCUAACUUCGUGCCAGCAGCCGCGGUAAUACGAAGGGUGCAAGCGUUAAUCGGAAUUACUGGGCGUAAAGCGCGCGUAGGUGGUUCAGUAAGUUGGAAGUGAAAUCCCCGGGCUCAACCUGGGAACUGCUUUCAAAACUGCUGAGCUAGAGUACGGUAGAGGGUGGUGGAAUUUCCUGUGUAGCGGUGAAAUGCGUAGAUAUAGGAAGGAACACCAGUGGCGAAGGCGACCACCUGGACUGAUACUGACACUGAGGUGCGAAAGCGUGGGGAGCAAACAGGAUUAGAAACCCCGGUAGUCC
rnacentral:rRNA from 1 species